rnacentral:lncRNA from 1 species
GUGAUUUUUAAAAUGUAUUUACAUAAAUAAAUAUUGGGAUACAACAGGCUUUACAGAUAUCUGUUAGGAAAUGUAAACACUGACAACAAGAACGUAAACAAAAAGAAAAACAAAUCUUUAUUUAAGAAGCAAGGUGUUCAUAGUAACUCUCCGCCAUGAAUGUAAAAUAGUUUUAAGAUCGUCAUUAUUUGAGACAACUAUUGAUUACGUAAAAGUCGCACUCCAACACUCCUACAGUUUUACAUUAAAAAACAACACUCAUUUGCUUUCUGGAACCUGUAGAGUUUCUUGUUGCCAUCAGCUGAAACUGCCAUCAUGUAUUGGGUACAUAUCAACCACAUCACAGCAACAUAUCAACCACAUUACAGCAACAUUACAGCAACAUAUCAACCAUAUUACAGCAACAUAUCAACAACAUUACAGCAACACAUCAACCACAUUACAGCAACAUUACAGCAACAUAUCAACCAUAUUACAGCAACAUAUCAACCACAUUACAGCAACAUAUCAACCACAUUACAGCAACAUAUCAACCACAUUACAGCAACAUAUCAACCACAUUACAGCAACAUUACAGCAACAUAUCAACCACAUUACAGCAACAUUACAGCAACAUAUCAACCACAUUACAGCAACAUUACAGCAACAUUACAGCAACAUAUCAACCACAUUACAGCAACAUUACAGCAACAUAUCAACCACAUUACAGCAACAUUACAGCAACAUAUCAACCACAUUACAGCAACAUUACAGCAACAUAUCAACCACAUUACAGCAACAUUACAGCAACAUAUCAACCACAUUACAGCAACAUUACAGCAACAUUACAGCAACAUAUCAACCACAUUACAGCAACAUUACAGCAACAUAUCAACCACAUUACAGCAACAUUACAGCAACAUAUCAACCACAUUACAGCAACAUAUCAACCACAUUACAGCAACAUUACAGCAACAUAUCCAACGUCGGACAUAAUGUAUUGGUUACAGGCCGGACAGACGUUGCAAAGAUUAUCCUCCUCAAACUUGCGAUAGAUGUACUCGAGGAAGCUUAUUUAUGUUGCUGUAAAGUGGUUGUUAUGUUGCUGUAAAGUGGUUGAUAUGUUGCUGUAAUGUUGCUGUAAAGUGGUUGUUCUGUUGCUGUAAAGUGGCUAUAAUGUUGCUGUAAAGUGGUUGAUAUGUUGCUGUAAUGUUGCUGUAAUGUUGCUGUAAUGUGGUUGAUAUGUUGCUGUAAUGUUGCCGUAAAGUGGUUGAUAUGUUGCUGUAAUGUUGCUGCAAUGUUGCUGUAAAGUGGCUGUUAUGUUGCUGCAAAGUGGCUGUUAUGUUGUUGUAAUGUGGUUGUUAUGUUGCUGUAAUGUUGCUGUAAAGUGGCUGUUAUGUUGCUGUUAUGUUGCUGUAAUGUUGCUGUAAAGUUGCUGUAAUGUUGCUGUAAAGUGGCUGUUAUGUUGCUGUUAUGUUGCUGUAAUGUUGCUGUAAAAUGGCUGUUAUGUUGCUGUAAUGUUGCUGUAAAAUGGCUGUUAUGUUGCUGUAAUGUUGCUGUAAAAUGGCUGUUAUGUUGCUGUAAUGUUGCUGUAAAGUGGCUGUUAUGUUGCUGUUAUGUUGCUGUAAUGUUGCUGCAAAAUGGCUGUUAUGUUGCUGUAAUGUUGCUGUAAAAUGGAUGUUAUGUUGCUGUAAUGUUGCUGUAAAGUGGCUGUUAUGUUGCUGUUAUGUUGCUGUAAUGUUGCUGUAAAAUGGCUGUUAUGUUGCUGUAAUGUUGCUGUAAAAUGGCUGUUAUGUUGCUGUAAUGUUGCUGUAAAAUGGCUGUUAUGUUGCUGUAAUGUUGCUGUAAAGUGGAUGUUAUGUUGCUGUUAUGUUGCUGUAAUGUUGCUGCAAAAUGGCUGUUAUGUUGCUGUAAUGUUGCUGUAAAAUGGCUGUUAUGUUGCUGUAAUGUUGCUGUAAAGUGGCUGUUAUGUUGCUGUUAUGUUGCUGUAAUGUUGCUGUAAAAUGGCUGUUAUGUUGCUGUAAUGUUGCUGUAAAAUGGCUGUUAUGUUGCUGUAAUGUGGUUGAUAAGCUGUACGUAAUAGAAAAUGAUUCCUUAUUACCAUUUAUGCAAACGAAAAUGAUGUCUCUGAUGACGGCUCUGCCAGCAGUCACUGCAACGUUAACAGGGUCACAGGAGCAGACCUUUUAGGGAAGUUCUGUAGCCAAGAGGCACACUGUGGGGAGAGAAACACGGGGGGGGGGAUCAUGUACAUUUACAAAAAUACACUUACAUCAAUUCAAGGCAUACACAUGGCAAUGAGGAACCUAGCCUGGUCACAGAUGGUGUAGGAGAACAAAUUGUGUUGGGGCAAUGAUCUUCCCUAUCGUGCGGAGAAUAAUCCCUAUGCGGAGAGAUAUCACACUGCGUAGAACCACUCAAAUGCCAAUGUGAUCUCUACAGCGGCUUCUCUACAUGCCACGUCAUGGACAUUCUCAGCACCCAGCAGACUGUCGGGACGAUGUAGCCUUGUUUUGACAUAAACUCCGGACCAUAUUGAUGAUUGGGCAGUGAGAUCCAAACCUUGAGGGCGCUGUUGUCUCUCCAUCUCCUUGAAGAAUCUCCACCAGUCUCUUUUUUCUUACCUUUAUUUAACCAGGCAAGUCAGUUAAGAACAAAUUCAUAUUUACAAUGACGGCCUACAACCGGCCAAACCCGGGACCAAUUGUGCGCCGCCCUAUGGGACUCCCAAUACACAGCCGGUUGUGAUACAGCCUGGAUUUGAACCAGAGGUGUCUGUAGUGACAACCUCAAACAGUGAGAUGCAGUGCCUUAGACCGCUACGUUACUCGGGAGCCCCAUUGCAGGGAUAUAUAAUACAAAUCAUCACAUAACUCAACUAAAUGGUUUAUUUAUGAUUUGCUUCGUUGAAUCUACUACUGACAAUGUGUCACCGAUGUGAAACGGCUAGCUAGUCAGCGGUGGUGCGCGCUAAUAGCGUUUCAGUCGGUGACGCCACUCGCUCUGAGACCUUGAAGUAGUUGUUCCCCUUAACUAAGCUUUUGUGGAAUGAUGGGUAACGAUGCUUCAAGAGUGGCUGUUGUCUAUGUGUGGAGAGGGUCCCUGGUUCGAGCCCAGGUAGGGGUGAGGAGAGGGUCCCUGGUUCGAGCCCAGGUAGGGGUGAGGAGAGGGUCUCUGGUUCGAGCCCAGGUAGGGGUGAGGAGAGGGU